AUGACUCAAACGGGUCAUCCAACCCGGUCAUCAGGAGGGAUCAUCCAACCGGGUCAUCAGGAGGGAUCAUCCAACCGGGUCAUCAGGAGGGAUCAUCCAACUGGGUCAUCAGGAGGGAUCAUCCAACCAGGUCAUCAGGAGGGAUCAACCAACCAGGUCAUCAGGAGGGAUCAUCCAACCGGGUCAUCAGGAGGGAUCAACCAACCGGGUCAUCAGGAGGGAUCAUCCAACCGGGUCAUCAGAAGGGAUCAUCCAACUGGGUCAUCAGGAGGGAUCAACCAACCGGGUCAUCAGGAGGGAUCAUCCAACCGGGUCAUCAGGAGGGAUCAAUCAACCGGGUCAUCAGGAGGGAUCAUCCAACUGGGUCAUCAGGAGGGAUCAUCCAACCGGGUCAUCAGGAGGGAUCAUCCAACCAGGUCAUCAGGAGGGAUCAGCCAACCAGGUCAUCAGGAGGGAUCAACCAACCAGGUCAUCAGGAGGGAUCAUCCAACCGGGUCAUCAGGAGGGAUCAUCCAACCGGGUCAUCAGGAGGGAUCAUCCAACCAGGUCAUCAGGAGGGAUCAUCCAACCAGGUCAUCAGGAGGGAUCAGCCAACCGGGUCAUCAGGAGGGAUCAUCCAACCGGGUCAUCAGGAGGGAUCAUCCAACCAGGUCAUCAGGAGGGAUCAGCCAACCGGGUCAUCAGGAGGGAUCAACCAACCAGGUCAUCAGGAGGGAUCAGCCAACCGGGUCAUCAGGAGGAAUCAUCCAACCGGGUCAUCAGGAGGGAUCAUCCAACCGGGUCAUCAGGAGGGAUCAUCCAACCAGGUCAUCAGGAGGGAUCAUCCAACCGGGUCAUCAGGAGGGAUCAGCCAACCGGGUCAUCAGGAGGGAUCAACCAACCAGGUCAUCAGGAGGGAUCAGCCAACCGGGUCAUCAGGAGGGAUCAUCCAACCAGGUCAUCAGGAGGGAUCAUCCAACCAGGUCAUCAGGAGGGAUCAGCCAACCGGGUCAUCAGGAGGGAUCAAUCAACCGGGUCAUCAGGAGGGAUCAUCCAACUGGGUCAUCAGGAGGGAUCAUCCAACCGGGUCAUCAGGAGGGAUCAUCCAACCAGGUCAUCAGGAGGGAUCAUCCAACCAGGUCAUCAGGAGGGAUCAUCCAACCGGGUCAUCAGGAGGGAUCAUCCAACCGGGUCAUCAGGAGGGAUCAUCCAACCGGGUCAUCAGGAGGGAUCAUCCAACCGGGACAACGAAUGAAUUAUACUUGUGAAGAAGAAAAUGUACUACUUCGUUUAUAUUUAGAGGAUGCUCUCAUCCAGAGCGACUUACGGCAGGGUAGCCUAGUGGUUAGAGCUUUGGACAAGUAA
rnacentral:lncRNA from 1 species